rnacentral:rRNA from 1 species
AUUGAACGCUGGCGGCAGGCCUAACACAUGCAAGUCGAGCGGAUGAAGGGAGCUUGCUCCUGGAUUCAGCGGCGGACGGGUGAGUAAUGCCUAGGAAUCUGCCUGGUAGUGGGGGAUAACGUCCGGAAACGGGCGCUAAUACCGCAUACGUCCUGAGGGAGAAAGUGGGGGAUCUUCGGACCUCACGCUAUCAUAUGAGCAUAGGUCGGAUUAGCUAGUUGGUGGGGUAAAGGCCUACCAAGGCGACGAUCCGUAACUGGUAUGAGAGGAUGAUCAGUCACACUGGAACUGAGACACGGUACAGACUCCUACGGGAGGCAGCAGUGGGGAAUAUUGGACAAUGGGCGAGAGCCUGAUCCAGCCAUGCGGGCUGUGUGAAGAAGGUCUUAGGAUUGUAAAGCAAUUUAAGUUGGGAGGAAGGGCAGUAAGUUAAUACCUUGCUGUUUUGACGUUACCAACAGAAUAAGCACCGGCUAACUUCGUG